CCUACGGGAGGCAGCAGUAAGGAAUAUUGGACAAUGGGCGAAAGCCUGAUCCAGCCAUGCCGCGUGAAGGAUUAAGGUCCUCUGGAUUGUAAACUUCUUUUAUAUGGGACGAAAAAGGGCAUUCUUGCUCACUUGACGGUACCAUAUGAAUAAGCACCGGCUAACUCCGUGCCAGCAGCCGCGGUAAUACGGAGGGUGCAAGCGUUAUCCGGAUUCACUGGGUUUAAAGGGUGCGUAGGCGGGUAGGUAAGUCAGUGGUGAAAUCUCGAAGCUCAACUUCGAAACUGCCAUUGAUACUAUUUAUCUUGAAUAUUGUGGAGGUUUGCGGAAUAUGUCAUGUAGCGGUGAAAUGCUUAGAUAUGACAUAGAACACCGAUUGCGAAGGCAGCAGGCUACACAUAUAUUGACGCUGAGGCACGAAAGCGUGGGGAUCAAACAGGAUUAGAUACCCUGUAGUCCACGCCCUAAACGAUGAUUACUCGACAUACGCGAUACACUGUGUGUGUCUGAGCGAAAGCAUUAGUAAUCACCUGGAGUACGUCGCAGGAUGAAAUCAAAUGAAUUGACCGGNGNGAGAGNGCGAGCGACACGAGGGAGAGG
rnacentral:rRNA from 1 species